AGGAAGAACUUCUGGUUGAAGAUGAAGGCCACACCGCUGAUCUCCUCUACUUUGGCCUCUGCAGUGGUGUUCCUGUUGAUGAAGUUGGCUGUGAUGGCGAUCGCCAGCUUCCCUCUGAACUCCUUCCUUUUAAAACCUGAGAUACAAAAGCAGUGAGACAAGAGUGAAACAGAGAUACAGAGAGUAUUCCUGCGCCCGUCAGCCCCAACCACCACGUCAAACUCAAAGUUAGCCACAGGGUGAUCAGCAGGUCGGAUUGCAGCUCUCCACCCGAUCCCUAUCAGAUGGAAACAAAGGCAAUUAAAGAGUAAGAGGGCAUGAAACUAACAUUACAUAAAGCGUAAGAACAUUCAUUCUGUGCUGAACCUCUACACAGAACAUUCAGCGCAGGGCAUGUGAAAAGCCAGCUGAUAAAGAAUGGUAUUUUUGCUCAAGGACACUUCACCAGUCAAAAUAUCUCUCCCACAGAGACCUCUAUGCCACCUGCAGUGAACCUAUUUUCUGAUGUGUCAAUGCAGAGAAUUUUUCCAUAGAGAAAUAAAGAGUAACAGAAAAAUAA